CAGUUCCUGUCUAUCCAUGCGGUCUGCCUCUUGCUCCUGAAAUCUCUAGACAUCUCGCAUCUUACCGAGCUGUUUUCUCUGUCUUAGCCACCGCCCAGCGCCAGGGCGCCAGGGCCUGCAACUGGCCUGAAGACUGAUGGAACUGUCCUUGUGAUGGAGUUGCUGGUUCUGCAGCAGCUACUGCCCUUCUUCUCUUGCAAGCCCAGGUCCAGGACCCUCACUCCCUCGUGGGCUUCUGUUCAGGGAGAGGAUGUCCCUGGCCUGUGUUUGACACUGCUAAAGAAACAGCACACUCAAGACUGUCACGGCCUCAGCAUCCUAUUGAAUGAAGCACUUCGUAACGGUUGGCAUAGCCGGUAGAACAAACAUGUCACCCCUGCCUUGGAAGACCUCCAGUCCCUCUCCUAGAGCCUGCAGGCCUCUGCAGAGUUUACCAGCUCUCAUGGCCCUUGGAGUUCUACAUUGCCAUCACUCACUGGCCACUGUUCCUAGCCAUUCACUCCUCUGCCAUUGGUCCUGGCCUUUCGAGACACCCUUAGAAUGCCUGGUUGUUAGGCUGUCCUGGGAGGAACAGGUAAAGUUGGAGGGUCAAGUGGUGGGGAGGUAG
rnacentral:lncRNA from 1 species